CUAUUUACCGCCACUGCUGAAGAAGAGAGAAUGAUCGUAGUGAUAGGCUUCCAGUGGUAUUACUGAUUUGUGCGAAGUCCAAUAGAAAGCUGACGUCGUCGCCGGUCAGAUGCACGGCCAGCGUCCCUUCUUCUCCUCUUCACUCCUUUUCCUUUGCUCCCUGGGCCCCGAUCCAUGCUUUUCAUUCUCAUCUCCUCCCUUAUUCCUCCCCAAUCCCCACUACCACCACUCUUCGUCACCGGCGUCCCUUAGCAUCCCCCUCCGCCACCACCAUCACCGCGAACCUCUACUCUCUCCUCCGCUCUAUGGAGAGCCAGGCUGCUCACAACACCCCCCGGUUCCACCACCCAAGGUCUGCCCACCACGGCGGCAGCGGCAGCGGUAGCGGUGGCGGCGGCGGCCGCGAAGACUGCUGGAGUGAGGGCGCCACCUCAACCUUGAUCGAAGCGUGGGGAGACCGUUACGUUCUGCUCAGCCGCGGUAAUCUCCGUCAGAAAGACUGGAAGGAAGUCGCCGAUGCCGUUAACUCCCGUCAAAACGGCGUUAAGCCCCGUAAAACCGACGCCCAAUGCAAGAAUCGAAUCGACACAUUGAAGAAGAAGUACAAGCUUGAGAAAUCAAAGUCCUCGCCAUCUAAAUGGCCGUUUUAUUACCGUCUGGAUUCGUUGAUCGGAGCCAACGGGGCUCCGCCGGCGUCUAAGAAGGUAACCGCCCCGGCUUCACUUCAUAGACCUGCCGUUACUUUUACCGUUAAGCCGUCGAAGGAAAAGCUAGUCCCUAACCGUAACCGUAACCGUAACUCUAACCCUAGAGCAGUCGCGUUCACCGGUGGGUCGAGGCUGAACUCGGGGGGUUCCACCGAAAGCUCUCUCGGCGAUGGUGAUAGAGGAGACGACGACGGCGACGACGACGAUGAUGGCGGUGAUGAUGUGGUGUGUGAUGAAGGAAUCAGGAAACAUCGGAUGGAGUCUGUGGGGUUCUCCGAUGACUCGGCGUUUCGGGAACUGGCGAGAGCGAUUCUCAAAUUUGGGGAGAUAUAUGAGAGGAUCGAGUGUUCGAAGCAGGAACAGAUGAUGCAACUGGAGAGGCAGAGGAUGGAGUUCACCAAGGAUCUGGAAUUUCAGAGAAUGAACAUGUUUAUGGAAGCUCAGCUUGAGCUGGAAAAGAUUAAGCGCCCAAAAUGUGCUGCCUCCAACUCCAACUCAGGUGAUUUUCAAGACACCGAAUUGUACGUAACAUUUGGUUCUGGUGGUACUUUCGGAAAUUUCUUUCUUGCUUCUUAUCACUGAAAUCAAUAUGAAGUUUAGCUUUCAUGCUUCAAAAAGGCGUUAAUUUAAACGAUGUUCAUUGGAUUAUGCAGUUAAUUUUUUAGUUUUCUGGAUUUGAUCUUUCAAUUGAUUUACAUUGCAGGCUUAAAUUGUGGUUUGAUGAGAAGCAGAGUAUUUAAAAGAUUUAUAGUUAAUUUAUGUGAAUGCUUUCUGAGUGUUGGUUAUGAUAAUAGAUUUGAAGUUGUUUUCUGUAGAGUUCUAAAUAUUGGAUGAAGUGAGAGCAAGGAGAGUUUGGUGAAAAGCUAUUUUUUUUGAAUAGGGGGAAAAGGUCAGUCAUGAAAAAUCUGGUCCCUGAUGAAUUUCUUUGGCCCUCAGCUGCCUAAUUCCUAAACAGGUUUUCUCCAUUAUUUGGUGCUUAGAUCAUGCCGCUUCUGAUAUGUACUUCUGUAUGAUGGAAGCAAUCCCCCAUUUUUACCAGACCUGUAAGGCUUAGCUGAUGCAUAGCUUCCAGUUGUUCUUCUCUUAUGGUUCCAGUUUAUUUUUCUUUUGUUGAUAUUGAUGAAACACUGGAAGAUUGGACAUGCUGCACAAGUUUAGACAACAUUAUCGUAAUGGUUAUGAGUAAACCCUAAAUCCUAAACCCUGUUGCUUAACAUCCACAGUUCCUUCUUGUCCUAGGUUGGUGAUUGGAAGUGAGCGUUUUUCCAGAUUUCCUUUUUUGGAACAUCUAGCAUCAUGUCACUAAAAUUUUUUACGUGAUUUUGAGCACUUUUUUCUUGAUCAGUUCCUUCCCCUUUCCAUUGAUAACUUUGCCAAUAUGAUAACCUUAUGUUUGGGAGUUCGGAGUUGUGAUUUAGAUUUGAAUUUGUGUGGCUUAGAUAAAAAAAAAAAGUUUAAAAUUAUAUUUUGGUUUGCCUGAAGCAAUACAAAUCAGAUAUAAAGUCUAUCAUCGCAAACACAACCAACCUAAAAGUGUUUCUUCUUUACAAUUGUACAUGGUUUGACCUUGAGCUUGCCAUGACAUCUAUCCAUGCUUGCUUAGUUUUGUUUGGACUGGACUUGACAAGCAAUCAAAAUGCCUAGGCUUGAUGAUGCCAACAACAACAACAAACUAGUCUUAAAUCGUACUAUAGAUUUUUCCCCAAAUUUUGAUCAGACCUGUAAGGCUUAGCUGAUGUAUAACUUCUUGUUGUUCUCUCAUGGUUCCAGUUUAUUUUUCUUUUGUCAUUAUUGUUGAAACACUGCAGGAUUGGACAUGUUGCACAAGCUUAGACGACAUUACCCUAAUGGUUAUGGGUAAACCCUAAACCCUGUUGCUUAACAUCCACAAUUCCAUCUCGUCCUAUGGUUGGUGAUUGGGAUUUAGCUUUUUUCUCUGGUUUUUUUUAGGAACAUUUAACAUUGUCUUAUCCAAAAUUUUGACGUGAUUUUGAGUACUAUUUCUUCUUGAUCAGUUUCCUCCCCCUUUCCAUUGAUAAUUUUGCCAAUAUAAUAACCUUGUGUUUGAGAGUUUGGAGUUUUGAUCUUGGAUUUGAAUGUGUGGAUUUAAAUAAAAAAAAAAAGAAGAUACAGUGUAAAAUUAUAUUGAGAUUUGUCCAAAGUCGUACAAAUUCAAACAUAGGGCCCAAAAUCUGUCAUUGCAAACACAACCAACUUGAAGGUGUUUCUUCUCUGCAAUUGUACAUGGGUUGACCUUGAGCUUGUCGUGACAUCUAUCCAUGCUUGCUUAGCUUUGUUUGGACUGGACUUGACAAGCAAUCAAACUGCCUCGGUUUGAUGAUGCCAACAACAACAACAAUCAAGCCUUAAGUCCUGCUAGGUAGAUUUGGAUACAUGAAUGUCUUUUUUGCUAAUUUGCAUGAUCGUGGGCAAUUUAGUCAUGAAGUAUCUUUACUAUUUAGUGGGAAAGCAAGAAUUUUCAUUAAAGUUAGUUUUUUUUUAUUAAGAACAUUAUCUUCAAAGCUUUGACGCCUUUUUAUCAUCUUUUUGGACGAGUAUUUUAAUGAGUUUGAGUUAGCAUCAAGUGAUAUAACUUCAAGUAGGUUUGUGCUCGACUUCGCUGACAAUUUUAUGGGAUUCAAGUUGAGGGAGAGCCUUGGUUCAUUGGUAAGGUUAUAAGGUUGUAAGAUUACAUAAAUCGUGCCAUCUUCAGACCCCUGAGGGGGCAGGAGCCCUGUACACUAGGUGUUGUGUGUGUGUGUAAAUGAAUAUAUGUAUAUAUAUUAUAUUCUUUCUAUGAGAUUCAAAUUGACAGGUGUUUGAUGGCUUUGAUCUUUGUAUAAAGAUCAAUGAGAACUUCCCCAGCUUUUUUAUUGCAAAAAUUUAUAGUUUUAUUUGUGACGAAUCUCAAAGUUGAAUAUGAUUCAUGUCCUCUGGUUUUUUCUGUGAAGGAUUUCUUUUAAUGUAUCCUGUAGCUCAUACUUUGUCCAUUUGUUACUCUGCGUGUUAUUGAAUGGAUAACUUAGUAAAUCAGGUGACUUGGAUUUCCUGCUCUUUGACUAGUUACGGUUUUUGGUACUCCCAUGGAGCUGUCUGAUGAAAAUUGCAAUGAGCAAAAUGCCCUCCCCAGUUUGGGAGUGGGAUUUUUUUUUUCCCCGUUAUUUGAAAGAGGUAUAUUUGAGGGAGCAAAAUUAUUUGGAGAACAGAUAUGGGAGUUAAUAAUUAAGUUGUGUUAUUAAAGCCUGGACUUCUAUUAGAUCUGCGGGGAGAACAGUUUGGUUCAACUGCAACAUAAUUGACUCUGAUGUUAGCUUAUGUGCUAAGAAUUUAGGAUUAGUGUUGAAUUUUGAUCCAAAUAUUCCUUCUAAAGCUACUUUAUAAAUGCAGCUUGAACCUUGACAACUCUUGGUUCACAUUCCACAUAUUUCCAUCUGUCCACUUAUGCAUUUCUCAUUUAGGCUGCACAUAUUUUUUGAAUGUGUUGAAACUUAAGAAUUUAAUCUGUUCGAUGUGUGUUUUUUUAGACUUGUAUAUUUAAGAAUCCUGCUCUUCAUUUUUACAUGCAUGUGGAUGUAUGAGGGUCCCGUAGUUGCAAGAAAUUUUACUGAUCCACAUACACAAGGUUGUCAGAAUUGAGAUCCCAUGUAGGAUCAUUGGAGGGUCCACAGGAUUGGACUGUAGGAUCAGAUCGAGGAUUGAAGAUUCUACUUACAGUGCAAAAUAAAUAUUAAAAAUUUAUAUAUAGAGACUUUUAUGACAAUUUUUAAGACUAAAAAUUUGAUUAGCAUGUGUAAGAAGUUGAAAAACACAUUUAGAAAUGUAAGCUACAAAAAAAGCUUUUCUGCUUCUCUGCUUCUCUGCCACUGUAAUUAGGCUAGUAGAAUGAUCAUUCAUCAGUGAUCAUUUGAAGUAUAAAAAUUUAGGAUUUUGAGUAACCAUAAGAAGGAAAGACGAGCAGAGAAUCAAAGAAACAGUUAGCAGUCAGCAACUGUUGUUUGAAAUUAGAAGGGAAUCAGAAGAAAUUUACUUAAGAGCUAGCUCUCUGGUUGUUGAAGGUGACGCUAGAGCUUUCUACAUCUGUAAGAUUGUAUAAAGGAACAAGAACUCUGCAAGCUUAUAAAACUCCAGAAGAGCAAAAACCCAAGAACUCCAAAUUUUAUUGAACAAGAAAAACUCUGUAAGAAGUGGCCCAAGAAGACCAGAGCUGAUUGAACAAGAACAAUUAUGCAAGCUCAUUGAACAAGAACUAAAAAAUAAAAAUACUACUGCUAUUGAAAGUUCUCUGCAAGCUGUACUUUUUCCUUUCGAGCUAUCAAGAGAGAGGAGAGUUCUCUGCAGGCUGCUGCUAUGGGCAUGUAUAUAAAGUAAAUGAACCUGGGUGCUAUUUUGCCUUAGAUGUAAAGGAGUUGGGCCAAAUGGGCCAACAGAGCUGCAACAUGUAACUAUUGGGCCAAGUAAAAUGUAUCUUGGACCUCAUAUUUAAAGUCCAAACAAUAAAAAGGGAGUCCAGUUCACUAAGUAGAAUUGGUAGAAUACCACGUAGGAUUCAGAUUCUAUGGUUCUGCUUGCCUACAAUUCCAAUUGGGAUUCUACCUGAAUCUGAAUCUAUACACAAUUUGAAUCACGUGGGUAAAUCUAGGUCGUAGGAUCGUAAGUUUCUAUGAUCCAGAUUGAGAUUUAGAUAAUGAUGUGCGCACGCACACUUGCAUGUUGAAUGUAUAUAUGUGCAUGUUUGCAUAUGGUAGUUGAUGCAGUGUGAAAAAACACAAAUGAUUAAAUGGAGAACCUGGUGGCAAGUAGAAUUUUCAAUCGUCAAACAUUAUGUUUGGUUUGUAGAAUGGCAUGGUGUAAGAAUGGAAUGGAAAGAAAAUUUGAAUGGCGAGUCUGAUGAAAUUGAGUGAUAAAAUCUAUUCCAUGCCAUUCCUAUGUAGUAAACGUGUAAAAAGUUGUUGAUGUUUAUGCCUUGUCAAGUGUUAAGUUUUUUUUUAAAAAAUUUUAUUCUAAAAAUGUUAUUCCAGGAUGAUGAUUAAAACAAUAAUUAGAAAGGGAAUGAAGGUAAGUGAACAUUCAGGAGGUAGUUGCUAGCUGGUUCCAUCAUGUUAAACCAAGUGCAGGGAGGUAUAUUUGAUUCUGAAACUACAUAAACAUGGCAGCAUGGUUUGCCUAGUUUCUAUUGUGUAUUGUUAGGGAAAUGGGGAAGGUGGACUCAUAAGACACGCCCGGGCACAUUUUUCUAUGGUUCAAAAUGCUUGGUCAAAUAAUUUUUGGAAAUUAUUCUGAAAUUGUGCUGGAGCGGCAUAUUCAACUGUUAUUUUAUGCUUCCCCUGGUUUGCCCUUAGCUUUUUAACAUGCCUCACACUUCCACAUUGGAUUCCUGCUUCACUGCUUAGUAAUUUUUUUCCUUGUUCCUGCCCUCACUGUGGUAUCAUAUGUGGUAUGUAUGUGUUUUGUGCUCAUGAGGUCUUUGUGGUUGAGAAUAUACCCUGCAUGAGUGAUUUGGUGUCGGCAUAAGAUUGAUGUCCCUGCACUGCUUGGACGAUUUCUAGUGCUAGUGAAUCUUUUUGCUCUUUUAGAUCAUCUUCUUUUGCAUGGCCAAUUACUUCAAUGCAAGUGCUUUCUAGUUAGGACUCUUAUAAGCAUUCUGUAAACAUGACAUCACAAACAGGGAAGAAGCUAUAGCGGAUGAGAUGGAAUGAACACUCUGAAAAGCCUCUGUGCAAGCCUUGUUUGAAGCUCUCACUUCAUUUGACCACCAUACGCACAUUCUGCAUUGGAAGAGAUGUGGAGUUCUGAUUUUGAAGCAUUUCUAAGAUAUUAUAUCCCUGUAUGAGUCCACGAUUUUCUUUUUAAUAAUUUAAUCUGUAACAUGAUUUUGUUGGCUCAGCCCAGAUUUCUUCUACUUAUAUCAACGCUUCUUAUACUCGGCUUUCAUCUUUUUCCCCAUACUGGUCCUAUGUAAUGACGGUUCGGGGGUGAGAAGAUGUGUGAUUGAACUUCUGUUCAUUUCUUCUUUAUUUUUUUCUUUUAUUUUUAUUUUUAUUUUUUUGAGGAUAGGACAUCCACCUUAAUGAAAGAUCAUGUUCAAGAUA